rnacentral:rRNA from 1 species
AUGAACCUAGCCUCAAUUCCAUGGGGAUCCGUGAUCCGCGGCAUCCUAGGCCUUGUGCUUCUGUGGCAGGCCACCCGGCUGCUACACUGGUUGUGGUGGUGCCUGCGGCGGUUGGGGCGGGCGCUGCAUGCACAGGGGCUCAGAGGAACUCCGUAUCGCUUCCUCACCGGCGACAUUAUUAAGGCCAACCGACGAAACAGGGGGGCACGGUCAAAGCCCAUGUUGCUGGGUUGCCACGACAUUAGUCCUCAUGUCGCUUCGUUCCUCCAUGACGUCCUACGGAAGCAUGGCAAGAUGUGUGUGUCGUGGCUUGGCCCGACUCCGAAGGUAACCAUUGUAGACCCUAGCCUAGGCAAGGAGGUGAUGUCCAACAAGUUUGGCCAUUUCGAGAAGCUCAGGUUCCCGGCGCUGUCGAUGUUGCUUGCCAAAGGUGUGGCGGACUACGAGGGCGAGAAAUGGGCCAAGCAUAGGAGGAUCCUCAACCCCGCAUUUCAUCUCGAGAAGCUCAAGGUGCGUACGUUCAUUGUGAUUAAGUGUGGGCUAUGGCUAAAUCUCUCGCAACUCAUGCUACCUGCGUUUUCUGCGUGCUGUGAAGAGCUUGUUGGUAAAUGGAUGCGGUCCCUUGACCCUAACAAUUCAUGCGAGUUGGAUGUCUAUCCAGAACUUCAGAGCCUCACCGGAGAUGUCAUUUCUCGCACUGCAUUCGGGAGUAGCUACCUUGAAGGAAGGGAGAUUUUCCAGCUGCAAUCCGAGCAAGCCGAGCGCCUCUUGACCAACCUGAAGAAGAUUAUCAUACCUGGUUACACAUUCCUGCCUACAAGAAACAAUCGAAGGAUGCAUCAAACUAACAGAAAGAUUGAAUCCAUUUUGCGUAAUCUAAUUGAGAAGAGAAUGAAAGCAAUGCAAGAAGGAGAAAGCACCAAAGAUGACUUACUCGGUCUAAUUCUCCAUUCAAGCAUGACUGCCACAAAUGAAAAUAGUCAAUCCAUCCCCGGAAUGACAAUUGAAGAGGUCAUAGAGGAAUGCAAGCUAUUUUAUUUUGCAGGAUCGGAGACAACAUCAGUAUUACUCACAUGGACAAUGAUAGUACUAAGUAUGCACCCAGAGUGGCAAUACCGUGCAAGGAACGAGAUCCUUGGCAUAUUUGGGAAGAACAAACCUGAGUAUGAGGGCUUUGGUCGACUCAAAACGGUGACCAUGAUUCUAUAUGAGGUUCUUCGGCUAUACCCACCGGCCAUCACAUUCAUUCGAAAGACAUGCAAGGAUAUGAAGAUCGGAGGCAUCACAUACCCAGCCGCCAUCCUCAUCAACUACCCUGUGUUGUUCAUCCACCACGAUAUUGAAAUUUGGGGCAACGAUGCACUUGAGUUCAAUCCGGAGAGGUUCGCUGAGGGGAUCUCCAAGGCAUCCAAGGAUGUGGGUGCAUUCCUCCCAUUCGGUUGGGGGCCACGGGUCUGCAUCGGCCAGCAAUUUGCGCUUCUUGCGGCCAAGAUGGCAAUGUGUAUGAUUCUUCAACAUUUUGAGUUCAGCCUUGCACAGGCAUACACUCAUGCACCGCACGAUGUGACAUUUUUGCGUCCGAUGCAUGGUGCUCAAAUUAAGCUCUACGCGAUUUGA